rnacentral:lncRNA from 1 species
UUUCUCUUCGGCUGGUAACAGCCGCCCACCGUGUAGCUCGCCGGAGGAGCAGCAGCGACAAGCCGCGCCACCCUCGGCUUUCUACACACACCAGGACACAUAGACGGAGGUAGCACGCAGCCGCCGUCCACCGACUCUCUCUCUCAAGCCAUGGCCGGGCAGCAGCGGCACCACCGCCGUGCUCUGCCUCCCUCCGCUGAACUUUGGCCGAUGGCAGCAGCUUCAUGCCGCCACCAUCGCCGCCCUCUUAUCUCCCUCGGAACUCUCUCCCGGCUCUCUUUCUCUAUGUGAGAACAGAGCACCACAGACAAGCCUCAAUUUCCGGCAACCGCAACGAAGUCACGGCCGUGGUCCUUCCCGACUCGACACAGCAAGCAAAAACAAGCUUAAAACUCAUUUCAUUUUUUUUUCUUCAUUCGUUUCUUAUUCAAACAUGUAUGCAGAUGUAUAUGAAUGCUUUGUUCAAAAGUCUUCGUUCAAUUUAUAAGUGAGAGUAAGUGACGUGCAUACACAAAAACAUGAAUUGUUGUCUGUUGUACAUUAGAGGUUUGAGUACUGGAGGAAAUCACUGAAACUGAAUUUGGGUGCUAACCGUGAAUGGAGGUAAAAUGGACAGAGUGAUUUGUAGAUGAAAUCUUUAGAGCUUUCAGCUGAGUUUGUGGAGUCCGUGUGGUAUAGCUGAACUUCUGUGGGUGUAGCUCCGCACUUAGUUCCUUGGUAUGUAGGAGAAAUGGUAAGUGGAAGGAAAUGGGUAUUUUGUUGGAGAAAUAGGCAUGGCUAAAGCUUAUUUUGGUGGGGGGCAAAGGAUCGUGUGUAGUGUGGGUGGAAAGUGGGGAAAGUGGAAAUUGGUGGGGAAAAAGUAUCGUGUGGUGUAGUGUAGUGU